rnacentral:rRNA from 1 species
GACGAACGCUGGCGGCGUGCUUAACACAUGCAAGUCGAACGAUGAAGCGGGUGCUUGCACUCGUGGAUUAGUGGCGAACGGGCGAGUAACGCGUGAGUAACCUGUCCUUUUCUUUGGGAUAACGGCUGGAAACGGCUGCUAAUACUGGAUAUUCAGGCUGCAUCGCAUGGUGUGGUUUGGAAAGGUUUUUUCUGGGAUUGGGUGGGCUCGCGGCCUAUCAGCUUGUUGGUGGGGUGAUGGCUUACCAAGGCUUUGACGGGUAGCCGGCCUGAGAGGGUGGUCGGUCGCACUGGGACUGAGAUACGGCCCAGACUCCUACGGGAGGCAGCAGUGGGGAAUAUUGCACAAUGGACGAAAGUUUGAUGCAGCGACGCCGCGUGGAGGGUGUAGGCCUUCGGGUUGUGAACUCCUUUUCCUCGCGAAAAAGGCACAGUUUUGGCUGUGUUGAUGGUAGUGGGGGAAGAAGCGCCGGCUAACUACGUG